rnacentral:lncRNA from 1 species
CGUAAAAUGCCUCGAAUUCAAUGGAAACUCGCUCCCUUCAAACCGUAUUUCAUCCCGGCCGGAUAAUUAUUAAUAUUGGCAUCUGAUCACAAUAGUGCCGUGCUCCCCCUCCGCCCCCCCAGCACUUUGCAUUGUCAUGUGAUUGGAGGGAGAUAACAAACCUCAAGAAAGAAAAGGAGUCAGAAGACAUUUUUAACGUGCUCUAACCACAGAUUAAUAAUGCAGGGUAUGAAUUUGGUACUUCUAGCAUUUCUGAAGCUCCAUACUGAGCAGCGUAUGUAUAGGUACAUAAGUUAAAGCUACAACACGGCAGAGGAGCCCAUGGGGCAUGCAUGCCAAACUUGUGCACCUAGGUGUAGACAUACACAGAUGAAGAGACCUUGAAAAAGAAAUGCCACUAAAUCUAUCUCAAAAGAGAGUUCUAAAUAUGUAAGACGGAGAACAUACAUGCCUCAGGUACAGCUCAUAAAAUGUGUCUAUUUUGUACAUCAGUUACGCUGUGACAUACCUGAAGGAUAACAUCUCUCUGACCAAACUGGCACCGUCAUGCCAAGGGGGGCAGGUGCUCACUGAACCAGCAAUCCAAAAUUUUUUCUGGCCCAAUGUUGUACCAUGAGUAGGUCAACUUGAUCAUCUAUAUGUGCAGUGACAAUAGUUCGGGACAAGAAAAUACCUGGGACAGAGUUGGUCACUUUGUUACCUAAGUUAACAGUUUCUCAGGCUCUUUUCCUCCUCCGGGGGCCUUUCCCCCCAGGGGCGUGGAAGUGAGCCCCACGCGUGCCUUGGCAUCAGGACAAUCAUC